ensembl:lncRNA
CCAAGCUGAUCCUGUUCCCCCCUUGUGCAGGUAUUGAGUCUGCACUUGGCCAAAAAAGCAAAAGAAGCGAGGCCAUCGGUUUUAGAUUUGCUGUGCUCUCUCCAAGAUACAUAAGAUGAGAAAGGAGGGGAAAGUAGGAGUGGUGGAGGGGAAAUGAGGAAGAAAAACAUCUUAGCGGUCACAACCUGGAUGAUGGCUGCCAGCACAGAUGGCUCUUGAAGCUCUGGGAAGAGGCUGAGCUUCACAGAACUGCUUCUUGGUGGGAACCUGCAGAAAUGGAUGGCAUGCCCAUAAGCCCCAUGGGCACACAGAUAGAGAACACCAUCAGGUUGCACAGAGAGCAUAACCUUUACAGCAAAGAGCUUUCAAAGGAUUUCCAUCCACUGCUACUAAUGCUAUUUCACAACUUUUGGAAGAGAAGAAAUUGCAUCAUAUGGGAUCUGGAAAAAGCUAAUUCCAGCUGAAAUGCAUUUGGCACAACAUUGAAUGACUUAGCUGGAGAACACAUGGAAGGCUCUGGGGUCAUGUCUGCAAGGAGUGGCACCUAACUCUAGUCCUCGUCUCAAAAUACAGCAUAAAGCCUAACUAGAACUGGCCCACAAUCAGAAUAUGUCCUCCACAGAAGUAUUCAGGAUAUUGAAAAAGAAAGCCUUUUGAGAUAAUCUUGGGUCUGUACAGCAAGCUAAUCACCAGCCUCAUCAGCCUAAGUAUUGAAACCAGUAGUACAGCAACAUAACAAAAACAGAUGACACAAACUCCCAAGCUCUGAAAAAAAGCAAUCAUAUGGAAAACUUAAAGAACUCUAUAUGAAAUCUGUUUCAAAUAAGAGGAGGAAGCAACAACCUCAUGCUGCGCCUUAAGGUAACUAGAGAUCAUGGUGUCUUCAUUUAGAAUAAGUCCCUGUAUGGUCUCACUUUUUGUGGAAGAGCAUCUGCACAAAGACCUUAUAUAAACUACAUUCCCAC